rnacentral:sRNA from 1 species
UUCUAGCCCCGAUGGUAGCGGCAUCCUUUAUGUUCUUUCUUUAAGAACAUAAAGAUAGAGCGAACAGCGGGUGAAAAA